rnacentral:rRNA from 1 species
AGCGAACGCUGGCGGCAGGCCUAACACAUGCAAGUCGAGCGGCCGUAGCAAUACGGCAGCGGCAGACGGGAGAGUAACACGUGGGAACGCGCCCUUCGGUCUGGAAUAACCCAGGGAAACUUGGGCUAAUACCGGAUACGCCCUUACGGGGAAAGAUUUAUUGCCGAAGGAACGGCCCGCGUCCGAUUAGCUAGUUGGUGAGGUAACGGCUCACCAAGGCGACGAUCGGUAGCUGGUCUGAGAGGAUGACCAGCCUCACUGGGACUGAGACACGGCCCAGACUCCUACGGGAGGCAGCAGUGGGGAAUAUUGGACAAUGGGCGCAAGCCUGAUCCAGCCAUGCCGCGUGGGUGAUGAAGGCCCUAGGGUUGUAAAGCCCUUUCAGCGGGGAAGAUAAUGACGGUACCCGCAGAAGAAGCCCCGGCUAACUUCGUGCCAGCCGCCGCAGUAA